AUGUCUAUUUCCACACAUUGUGUGGGAAUAGAUGUGUCUAUUCCCACACAAUGUGUGGAAAUAGCC
rnacentral:pre_miRNA from 1 species